GGAGAGGUAGCAUAGUCUGGCUUAAUGCGCACGCCUGGAAAGUGUGUAAGCGGUAACUCCGCUUCGCGGGUUCGAAUCCCGCCCUCUCCGCCA
rnacentral:tRNA from 1 species